GUGGGUGUAGCUCAGCUCGGUUAGAGCACCAGAUUGUGGCUCUGGGGGCCGUGGGUUCAAAUCCCAUCACUCACCCCA
rnacentral:tRNA from 1 species